GCCGGUCUGAAACCUCUUGAAAUCGUAGGUGCGGGCGGGUGUCUGCCCGGGUGGGAGGGGUGGGGGGGAUGGGGGUGGUGGCUGAGAGUCGCCAAUAACAAUGCAUUGAGUGGAGGAGGGGGACCCCUCGUUUUUCAGGGGUUUACCCCCCACCCCCCACCCCUCCCGUCAGCCCCAGGUGCUCGCAAGGCGAAGGAGGGCCAAGCGGAGGAGAAAGCACUCGGCAGAAGUGAUGGAGUUGCGCAGGGAAGCGCGGGAUCCCUUCCCUAGGAUGAGCAGAGGGGUUCAGCAGCGGCGGAAGACACAACCUUGUGUAAAAGCCCAGCCGUGCCCCGGGCCAGGAGAAAGGGGCAAGGCAACAGUCCUGACUGAGAUAGAUUUAUGAGAAGAAAGAUCUUGGACUCAGUAGGACUCUCCACCAAUUUGGAGUGUGGGGAAAUGAAGGGGGAAACCCAGCUAUCUUCCUUUCCAGUGCCCAAGACGGUAUCCCUUUCAACCAAAUUCAGAGCAUUGGCAGCAGAACUGCAAAAUCAAUCCACGCUGGUCAAGCUUCAAAGCAGAUCUCUGCCUAUGCCUCCUGGGGGCAUCUGCUGCCAGUAUGGGCGAGGUACCCAACACAAGAGCCAUUCUACUUUAGUGAAACCCACCUGGAAGUUGGCACCGCUUAGGGCAGGUUGGGCUGCUGUCAUUUUGAAUCUGAUACUAGUCCUGGUCCUGAUGAGAAGCAGCUGUCCAAGGUCUGAGGCUUCCUGAUGCCUGGAAAAGUGUUUCCCUGGCCCAGCUUUAUCUCAGAGUCAGAGUAAUCAAGAACGUUAAGUUUUAUUUAUCCGACGUCUAUCCUGCUUCAGGCUGAACAACUGUAGUGAGAUUCCCGUGGAUGGAGCCCACCUCACCAAGCAAGGAGAGGGAUUCGGACACCAGAGAGGCAGCAAUCCUUCUCACCUCCACUUUGGGACUGACAAGAGCUUGAAUUCCUCAAUUGCCUGAACGAAAGUUGAAGGCGAUGCCUGCAAAGGGAAGAGAUUGUUCUUCCGUUUCCAGGUAGCAUCUUGCCUUGGGAUUUUACCAAAGCACCAAAUUCCUUAUUCUGAAGAAAAACUCCAAUUCUUUUUCCAUAAAUUGUUGAAAUUCUUUUUCAUUUAGAAUUGUUUGAUUCAAAGAUGUAUGGAGAAAUAGACAUUUGAAAGGAAAACAAUAUACCUUUUAAUUCAAAUAGACACCUGUCAUGGUCCAGGACAGACAUGAUAUGGAUGUCAUCAGAUUUAAUAGACAAUAUACAAAAAAUAAAUAUUGACUCAAAUCUUUGGGCAGAUCACAAUCCAAUUAUAAUAGCAUGGAAAGGACAAAAGAAAAAGUAUAGAUGCACCAAAUUCCUUUUGGGAAAAUAUCCCCUCCCAAGUUCAUCACAAAACCCCAUUUACUGUUUAUAUGCUGGAUGUUACCAAAGAACACUGCUAUAUUCUCCCAGUGGUUUUGUUCAAAGGCAACAUUCCUCUAGCAGGAAGACUGAGAAAACUCCAAUUCAUUUUCACUCUGUGAAUGCAAGCGGAUGAAUAUUCAUUCCACAACACUGCAAAGUGACGAAAUAAGCAAGGGAAAGACGAGUAAACAAUAUUAUGUAAGAAUGUGUUUCUCUGCUAUGAGAAUUAUGUAAUUAUGUCGUUUAGAUUCUUGCAAGAUAUUUUCAGACAGCCCAAAUAGCAAAAUAUUUGUCUUGCUAUUUGUUUUGAAAAUAUGGAUGCGGUGGGUUUAUAGAUCAGGUUAAGACAUGGUUUGUUUAAAAGUGGUUUAUUGAGGAAACUGCAUUUGACUCGACUCACACUCAGACUAAUCCAUAUGACAUGGUUUAUAAGCCACUGUAGCUGAGUUUAUCUAGCAUUCUAAACCCCAACUAUGAUUUUUAGCAUGAUUUGUGAACAAAGUUGAUAUAUUAUUUCUCCCUAGAGGAAACUGCCUUUCCAAAGGAAUUGGGGGAAAAAAAACAGAUGUAUAAAUCAGGCAUAUAAAUCAUACCUAAAUGAGGCAUAAAAGUCAGAACUACUUUAUGCUGGAGCAAAACUUUUGAAUAUGCCAGAAAUAUAAGUGGUCUUGUUUAACAAUCACUUGUUCAGCAUAAAUUUGAAUUUAUGGUGGUGAUGAAUGAGAGGUAAUUAUAUUAGAAUAAAAUAGAGCUGGACGGUACCUUGGAGGUCUUCUAGUCUAGCCCCCUGUUAUGACUGGACUUUUGAAUCUGCAGCUAUUACAGCAUCUCACGGUCACAUAAUGAAGCCAGCGGGAAAUCUCAACUCAGUCACAUAAGGUCCUUGCUUAACAAAAAAUGUAGUCCUCAUUUAAUAACAGCAAUCAGGAUGCCAGAGCUGCUGUCACAAAGUACUGCAGUCACACAGUUUUUGACAACAUCGCUUAAUUACAGAAUUUCCAGUCCCAAUUAGCAUAGCUAAAUGAGGUCUACCUGUGAACUCAUCACAAUGAAUUUGGUAAUGCAGUAGAUGUGAAUGGAGGUAUUAGGAAGGAAGAAAGGAUAUUCUCCUGUUUGGCUUAAUGUAACCCCAGUGUAGUCUCAAAAGCUAUAAACAUGGAGGCAGCUUACAUGGAGCCUAAAACAGCUUUUUAAAAAAACUACUGAUCCUUAGGGAUAAUCCAUGAGAAAAACUUGAAUUAUGGACAAGUUUCUGGCUAGGCUUAUUCAUUCAUUGUCAUGAUUUUCAACUACGGCUUGAUGAACAAGCUAUAGUAUCCUAACUUACACUAGUAUACACUGAUCUACCAAGCAUGAUUUACAAUCACAGGGAUUAGAUCCAUACAUCAGCUAAGCCAAAAUUAAACUACUUUGUUUAGCAGGGUAUUAAAACUCAAACUGGGUAAUUUAAAAGUCGCAGGGGGCUGCUGAACUAUAGUAUUUCAUGAUUCAGCAUCGGAAGACAGCUUGUUAAAGCAAUGUUUUUGGGGGGUUGUUAUUUUUCUGUAUGUGCUUUGCGUUAUUUAUUAUUUGCACUCCUGGAAUUAUUUUUAUUGCUUGGUCACUUGA